rnacentral:lncRNA from 1 species
ACAAGAUGAAAAAUUUAUGGAGGAAGUAAAAAACACAACAUAAUGAAUUAAAUUCAUUAUGUUCGGAUUUGAACUACCUUUGAAAUGAACUACGUAAGGGAUGAAUUUUGAGAUGGUGGUUGGGUAGAAAGAAUAUAACUAUAUACAAAGUUUGAGCCAUAAUUAAAGAAGUGUGGUAUGUCACUCGAAUAUGAAAUGGAAUAAAGAAGAAGUUGGACUAGAGAUUAGGUGGAGACUUUGUUGAAGCUUGAAGGAAGUUGAGCAAAAGUAAAAAGGAAAGGAUCAAGGUGGGAUUAGGAGUAGCAAAACACAUGACAAAAAUAAUAUACAAACAAGAACAACAAGAAUGGAGUUGAUA